GGGUUCAAUUCCGGAGAGGGAGCCUGAGAAACGGCUACCACAUCUAAGGAAGGCAGCAGGCGCGCAAAUUACCCAAUUCUAACAGCAUAAGAGAGGUAGUGACAAGAAAUAACAGUACAAGGCAGUUAAAAUGCUUUGUAAUUGGAAUGAUAGAAAUUUAAAUACUUUUUAAAGUAUCAAUUGGAGGGCAAGUCUGGUGCCAGCAGCCGCGGUAAUUCCAGCUCCAAUAGCGUAUAUUAAAAUUGUUGCAGUUAAAAAGCUCGUAGUUGAAUUUUUGCUAAAAAUAACCGGUCUGCUUUUAUUAAUAAAAGUGGUAUCUUGGUGUGUUUUUAGCAAUAAUGUCCUUUGAAAUGUUUUUUACUUUAUUGUAAAAAGCAAUUUUCAGGAUUUUUACUUUGAGAAAAUUAGAGUGUUUCAAGCAGGCUAACGUUUUGAAUACUGCAGCAUGGAAUAAUAAAAUAGGAUUUUAGUUCUACGUUAUUGGUUUU
rnacentral:rRNA from 1 species